rnacentral:rRNA from 1 species
AUACGUAGGUGGCAAGCGUUAUCCGGUAUUUACUGGGUGUAAAGGGCGUGUAGGCGGGAGUGCAAGUCAGAUGUGAAAAUUAUGGGCUCAACCCAUAACCUGCAUUUGAAACUGUUCUUCUUGAGUGAUGGAGAGGCAGGCGGAAUUCCGUGUGUAGCGGUGAAAUGCGUAGAUAUACGGAGGAACACCAGUGGCGAAGGCGGCCUGCUGGACAUUAACUGACGCUGAGGCGACG